GCACCAUCACCUCCAGCCUGCAGUGUGUGUAGGAAGCAAUUGGUUAUUGGUUAUUAUUAUUACUGGCUAUUCGUGCCAACCUUUGAGACCAUAAACAUUCCACUGGGUCCCAGAGUUCUUUCCUCUCCAUCAUUACACACUUGUGUGUCUAAGGACCAAGGUCUAGCUGGUAACAGUGGCUCUGAUGAGCUUCCAUUUCUCCUGACACUUCAACAUCUCCAGUUUCAAAGGAACCAGAGCUGCUCGUGGGGGAAUGGCUCAGAUGCUCUUCUUUCCCAUCCGACCUCUUUCCAUCAACUAUCACACCCAGAAUGUGGUAAAAGGCACUCGAGUACUUCAUUUAUUUUAAUUUAGGUGUCCGCUCAUGAAAACAUACGAGCAUGUGUUAAUUUAAUUAACAUUUAAUUCGCAUAUCGCUCUGCUAGAUGCGGUUCCUCAUCACCUCACUGUGGGCAGCUCAAUGAGGCGCACCCUGGCAGCCAGCUGAGCAGCCUCUGCUUUGAGGAAGCGUUCAGUUCUCACAGCAGUUUCAUUUCUUGCCGCAAGCUCUGGCUUUCAGAGGACCUCCGGGCAGUACGCGUCUUUCUUCUCUUAAAACCAGAAGCGAAAGAUGCGAAAAAUUCCCCCGCGCUCCGGGAUUCCGGCUCUGUCCCAACGGCCGCCCCAAGCGGAGCGCGCCCUCUGCUCGCGCGGCCGCCAUUAGGGCCGCCGAAGGCGGGAAAGCCGAGAGCCGCCCGAGGGAGGGUGCGAGAGCGGCGCUGCGGAGCGCCCAUCUCUGCGGGUGUGUUUCCUGACCGCGCCAUAGCCAGGCACUGCAGCUGAUGUUGUACUUUAUUCCUGGCUAUCUAUCUGUUAAACAGGUAACGAUGACGAGCAGCACACAAAAACCUGAGGAAGUCAGAAGUAAACGCAGGAAAGAGCUGGAGGCUGAUGAUACAGAAGGCCUUCAGCUGUCCUCCACUGACACAGCAGACCCAGUGCUUUCAGAUGGCCUGCAGUCCCUGUACAAACCUGAGUCCCUGGAACAGCUGCUAAACGUCACUUUUU
rnacentral:lncRNA from 1 species